GGGGAAUAUUGGACAAUGGGGGAAACCCUGAUCCAGCAAUGCCGCGUGUAUGAUGAAGGUCUUAGGAUUGUAAAGUACUUUUAUUGGUGACGAUGAUGACGGUAACCAAUGAAUAAGCUCCGGCUAACUUCGUGCCAGCAGCCGCGGUAAUACGAAGGGAGCUAGCGUUGUUCGGAAUAACUGGGCGUAAAGGGUGCGUAGGUGGAUGUGUGCGUUAGAUGUGAAAUCCCCGGGCUUAACCUGGGAACUGCAUUUAAUACGGCACGUCUAGAGUGCGAGAGGGGAAAGCGGAAUGGCGAGUGGAGCAGUGAAAUGCAUUGAGAUUCGCUAGAACACCAGAGGCGAAGGCGGCUUUCUGGCUCGUUACUGACACUAAGGCACGAAAGCGUGGGGAGCAAAC
rnacentral:rRNA from 1 species